rnacentral:tRNA from 1 species
UCCGGUGCAGCUCGAAGGUCGAGCGUCCCGCUGAAGCCGGGAGGGUGCUGGUUCGAGUCCAGCCGCCGGAA